rnacentral:rRNA from 1 species
UAGAUCACCGAAGUUAAGCAUCAUUGGGCGCGGUCAGUACUUGGGUGGGUGACCACCUGGGAACACUGCGUGCCGUU